AGAGUUUGAUCCUGGCUCAGAUUGAACGCUGGCGGCAUGCCUUACACAUGCAAGUCGAACGGCAGCACGGGGGCAACCCUGGUGGCGAGUGGCGAACGGGUGAGUAAUACAUCGGAACGUGUCCUGUAGUGGGGGAUAGCCCGGCGAAAGCCGGAUUAAUACCGCAUACGCUCUACGGAGGAAAGGGGGGGAUCUUAGGACCUCUCGCUACAGGGGCGGCCGAUGGCAGAUUAGCUAGUUGGUGGGGUAAAGGCCUACCAAGGCGACGAUCUGUAGCUGGUCUGAGAGGACGACCAGCCACACUGGGACUGAGACACGGCCCAGACUCCUACGGGAGGCAGCAGUGGGGAAUUUUGGACAAUGGGCGCAAGCCUGAUCCAGCGAUGCCGCGUGUGUGAAGAAGGCCUUCGGGUUGUAAAGCACUUUUGUCCGGAAAGAAAACCUCUGGGUUAAUACCCCGGGGGGAUGACGGUACCGGAAGAAUAAGCACCGGCUAACUACGUGCCAGCAGCCGCGGUAAUACGUAUGGUGCAAGCGUUAAUCGGAAUUACUGGGCGUAAAGCGUGCGCAGGCGGUCUGCUAAGACAGAUGUGAAAUCCCCGGGCUUAACCUGGGAACUGCAUUUGUGACUGGCACGCUAGAGUAUGGCAGAGGGGGGUAGAAUUCCACGUGUAGCAGUGAACUGCGUAGAGAUGUGGAGGAAUACCGAUGGCGAAUGCAGCCCACUGGGCCAUACUGACGCUCAUGCACGAUAGCGUGGGGAGCAACAGGAUAGAUACCCUGGUAGUCCACGCCCUAAACGAUGUCAACUAGUGUUGGUCUUCAUGACUUAAUACGUACCUACGCGUGAAGUGACGCCCUGGGGAGUCGUCGCAGAUAGACUCAAAGGAAUUGAUGGAACCCGCACAAACGUGGAUGAUGGGAUAUUCGAUGCAGCGCGAAAACCUUUACCUACCUUGACAUGAUGCAUCUGCUGAGACGUGGGAUGGCCGAAGGAACCUAACCAGGGUCGCUCUGCAGUCCCACUCUGGCCCUGAGAAGUGGU
rnacentral:rRNA from 1 species